GAGGCAGGAAGCGGAAGUGGCGUCACUGGCCCGCGGCGGUCCUUGUCCCGUGGCCUAGCGCCUUUCCGAGCCUCUCCUCUUGGUCGUCUUGCGGUGCUUGGCGUCGUCGGUGAGGCCGCGUGCCAGGAAGGUUCGGAUGCAAGGAGGGCGUUAAAGGACAGGUGUGGCCCGGCCUCCGAGGGGCCUCCUUAAAGAGGCCGGGUCCCCUCCGCUCGCCCCCUUCGCGGCCGCUGGCGCCCGCGUUGGGCCGGCCGAGAGGAGCCACCGGUGAGGGCGCACCUGCGAAGUGUUUUCGGCCACGGUGCCUCCUUGUUCAAACUCCUCCUAAGUAACCUUUGUGACUCUUCUCCCGGAGAAUGAGAAUUUCCGCUGGGCAAGUCAGGUUGGCCCGGCCCUGCGGUGGUCACCGCCCUGUCGCUCCUGGCUGUCCCGAGCCAACGUAUGACGAUUGAUGACUGAUAACAUUUACUGAUUAAUGGUAAAUACAAAACACGACUCCAGAUUACCCGGUGUCCAUGGGGAUGGCUGUCUGUACUUGUAUUCAUAAGAUACCCUGAAAUGGUCUUGGUGUCAGAGAAAGGAAUGUCGGAUGAUAUGGAAGAUGGAGGUGUGCUUUUCUCAAAGAAUUGAUCCAUUCACGACCAUUUAUCGAGUGUCUACAGUGUGUUCGGGCAUGUGCUGCAUUAGAGGGAAAUAAGAAAAGAGCUCCGAGUCCAGGUAUGGUGAGACAAGGUCAUGUUUAAGAGUUUCCAUUGAAGCCAUGUGACUGGAUGAACAUUGAUGAUGUUCCUUGAUCCAAGCCGUUACACGUGUGGUUAUUUAGGAUUCAGUGACCUUUGGUGAUGUGCCUGUGGACUUCACCUUGGAGGAAUGGACUUUUCUGGACCCCUCUUAGAGAACCUUACGCAGAGAUGCAGUACUGGAUGGAGAACUCCCAGAACCUGAGUACGGUUAUCAACUCUUUAAACACACUUUUAUCUCAUGGUUGGAACAAGAAGAGUUGCGGACAAUGGAGAGAGAUAUUCCUCAGGGUGAGUGUGAAGAACAUCCCUCAUCAAUAAGAAGUUCAGUAUGUUUGGAAAUGUAACAAGAGGCUUCUUACGAGGAAACAGAACAAAUCUUUUGGGGUGUUCCAGGAGCCCUCUGGAAAAAUGCCAGGCUGGAGGCCCAAACCCUGGAGGUAGUUUAUUGUUUCAACCAAAGAGCAAAUGCUGAGACCCAUAUCCAAGUAGUUAUCUGCUGGGAAAGGAUACCCCAGGCCCACAUCCCAAAUGGCAUCACCCGUGCACAGAAUCUCAUUGCUGGCAGGGAUACUGGCCUAAGAUGACAUCACUCCCUCCGAAGAUCUCCUGAAUAGAAAUGACUUCACCCAGUUCAUGAGCUUCUGCACCAGCAAUAUCCGUGGCUGACCCUCCUAAUGCAGAAAGUAGACAAAGGACAAUUUUGCUGAUCUUCUUUUGAUAUUCUGUUUUGUUCCUGAGCUGCUUGCAGUCUGCUUAGCCCAUUAUCCAGGCAUACCUGCAUUCUGCCAAAACAUACCCCCACACUGCCAUGCUUGUAGGGGAAUCUGACAGAAAACUGUGUCAUUCCAAAAAUAACUUUUUUCAGGAGAUACCUCACUCCUAUUAGUCUGCCUCUUAACCCUGUGGGAAGAAGACCACUCUCCAGCACCUUCUACGGCAGCCCUCCAUCUUUCCACCAUGACCUCCUGCCCUGCAUCACCAACCACAAAAUACUAAUCUUUACAUCUAUUUUAUUAUCAUUAGCUCAUGGCCUCCAACAGUGUAACUGCCAAGCUUGCCGCCUUGAAUAUUGUCAAAUGCACACUUUAUAAGUCCACAAAGAUACUGUUAGAGUCCACAAAAUAAUUUCAUAUCUUUACAUAGUACCUACCAGAUUUAGUAGAGACCUUGGUUAUGGGCUAGCCUACAAGGACUUCUUAUACUCCCGUAAUGUUUUCCAUGUAUUCCAUGGCAACUUAAGCCAUACUCUUGGAUAAUCACCACUACCAUCACCCCAAAGUUUCCUUACUAUCGAACCAUCAGAAGAUCAGUUGCCUUAAUCAUGUUCUCUUUUGCUCUGUGUUUAUGAUGCUUUGACACUUUAGGGAUCAAUCUGUCCAGGAAGAUACUGCUCCUUCAGGUCUGGCUAAUCCCUAAAGGUAGUAAACAACUUGAUCAGGAACAUUUCUUUCUUGUGGAAACCAAAUCAUUCAGUAUCCAAUAUCCCCAACCUCCUUUAACUCUUACAUGCAAAGCCAGUAUUUCUCCUACCUAAGUCGACCCAGGACCAGAUACCAGAAAACUAGAUACAUUGCCUAUGACCCAAAAUCUGGUGGCAUUAGUCAAACUAGCCAAUUCUGUUCAGCCCUACCUUGCUCUUUCAGUGAAAACCCAAUGAAGACUGUGGCCUGUGUUUUCUCCUUUCUUCAGACCAAUUCUGAACCCUCAUGGGGAGUCAUGCUGUCUACCCUUUGGGCUGUGGUAAACUCUUCUUUCAGUGUUUUUAAUUUCCCUGUGUCUUUAUUCAGUCACUUUCAGAAAUUAAGAUCAAGGCACCAAUCUACCAUUUCUUUGCUUUUUUCAUAAGUUUUACUGCUUAUGUAUAGACCCCAAAGCAAAGUAUUUCCCUCCUUAGUUGAUUUUUGAACUAUAUAUAAAAGCUUUUGUUACUGAGUCAUUCCUUUGUUAUUUUAUUCACUCACUGUGUAUUAAUGUUCAAACUUAUUAGGUAAUUACAAUGUUUUUCCAAAGUGUUUGUGCAAUAUCUCUGUGGUUUAAUUUGCCUUUCCCUAUUACUGAUGGUAUGAACAUCUUGUCAAGCACUAUGGCUAUUUGUUUUCCUCCUUGUUGGAAUACCAGUCAUGGCUUUGGCUAAUUUUUCUAAUAGUUGUUCUUUUAAAAUAAUUUUGAAGUCUUUUGUUAAACAAUGUGGUGCUCCUCAUUCAUGAAUAACAAGAUUGCAUUAGUUUCCACUUAA